rnacentral:rRNA from 1 species
UACGUAGGGUGCGAGCGUUGUCCGGAAUUAUUGGGCGUAAAGAGCUCGUAGGCGGUGUGUCGCGUCGGCCGUGAAAACCUGCAGCUUAACUGUGGGCGUGCGGUCGAUACGGGCAUCACUGGAGUUCGGCAGGGGAGACUGGAAGUUCCUGGUGUAGCGGUGAAAUGCGCAGAUAUCAGGAGGAACACCGGUGGCGAAGGCGGGUCUCUGGGCCGAUACUGACGCUGAGGAGCGAAAGCGUGGGGAGCGAACAGG